GACGAACGCUGGCGGCGUGCUUAACACAUGCAAGUCGAACGAAGAGCGAUGGAAGCUUGCUUCUAUCAAUCUUAGUGGCGAACGGGUGAGUAACGCGUAAUCAACCUGCCCUUCAGAGGGGGACAACAGUUGGAAACGACUGCUAAUACCGCAUACGAUCUAAUCUCGGCAUCGAGGAUAGAUGAAAGGUGGCCUCUACAUGUAAGCUAUCACUGAAGGAGGGGAUUGCGUCUGAUUAGCAGGUGGGAGGGGUAACGGCCCACCAAGGCGAUGAUCAGUAGCGGGCCGGCAGGGAGGAACGGCCACAUUGGGCCGGGACCCGGGCCCAGCUCCUGACGGGGGGCAGCAGGGGGGAUUCUUCCGAAAGGGAGGAAGGUCGGACGGGGCAACGCCGCGUGAGGGAUGACGGCUUUCGGUUUGAAAAGCUUUUUUAAUCGGGACAAAAGGCCUUUUUGCAAAUAGUGAGAGGGAUUGAGGGUCCGGAAAAAGAAAGCCACGGCUAACUACGUG
rnacentral:rRNA from 1 species